rnacentral:tRNA from 15 species
GAACCGGUGGGCCUGCUGGUCUUCAAAGCACAAGGCGGGCGCG